rnacentral:rRNA from 1 species
AGAGUGAACGCUGGCGGUAGGCCUAACACAUGCAAGUCGAACGGCAGCACAGUAGGAGCUUGCUCUUACGGGUGGCGAGUGGCGGACGGGUGAGGAAUACAUCGGAAUCUACCUUUUUGGUGGGGGAUAACGUAGGGAAACUUACGCUAAUACCGCAUACGCCCUUCGGGGGAAAGCCGGGGACCAGCAAUGGCCUGGCGCUGAUAGAUGAGCCGAUGUCGGAUUAGCUAGUUGGUGAGGUAAUGGCUCACCAAGGCGACGAUCCGUAGCUGGUCUGAGAGAUGAUCAGCCACACUGGAACUGAGACACGGUCCAGACUCCUACGGGAGCAGCAGUGGGAAUAGUUGGACAAGUGGGCGCAAGCCUUAGAUACCAGCCAUACCGCGUGGUAGAAGAGGCCUUAGGGUUGUAAAGUCCCUUUUAGUACGGAAAGUAAAAGCGUAAGUUCCGGUUAA